AUUACAGUCGACGAGUAAAAAAUAUUUAGUAUUAUUUUUCUCGUGUUUUUGUACUAUCUAUGAAUAUAAAGGUACUUGUAGUUCCGAAUAUUCGUUACAUUUCUAAUAAUUUUAUACGUUUUCUUUAUAUAUGCGUAUUAAUUUACUUAAUAGAUUAUUUGUUACGAAUAAAUAUGAAAUAUGCCUCAUGGCAGUUUUGUUUACUGUUUGUGCGAGUGUUGCCCCCUACGCAGAGUUUUGCGUAAUAUUCCCUAUUAUAUCAAAAUUUCUUACUGUUGAAUGAACACCAGUUGUUUACGUAAAUAUAAAUUUGAUUAUAAAAUA